UACGUAGGGGGCGAGCGUUGUCCGGAAUUACUGGGUGUAAAGGGCGUGUAGGCGGGUAAGCAAGUUAUCGGUAAAAACCCAGGGCUCAACCUUGGGCCUGCCGAUAAAACUGCAUACCUUGAGUGCAGGAGAGGGGAGUGGAAUUCCCGGAGUAGCGGUGAAAUGCGUAGAUACCGGGAGGAACACCGGUGGCGAAGGCGGCUCCCUGGCCUGUAACUGACGCUGAGGCGCGAAAGCUGGGGGAGCGAACGGG
rnacentral:rRNA from 2 species